rnacentral:rRNA from 1 species
GACGAACGCUGGCGGCGUGCUUAACACAUGCAAGUCGAACGGAAAGGCCCUGCUUUUGUGGGGUGCUCGAGUGGCGAACGGGUGAGUAACACGUGAGUAACCUGCCCUUGACUUUGGGAUAACUUCAGGAAACUGGGGCUAAUACCGGAUAGGAGCUCCUGCUGCAUGGUGGGGGUUGGAAAGUUUCGGCGGUUGGGGAUGGACUCGCGGCUUAUCAGCUUGUUGGUGGGGUAGUGGCUUACCAAGGCUUUGACGGGUAGCCGGCCUGAGAGGGUGACCGGCCACAUUGGGACUGAGAUACGGCCCAGACGCCAACGGGAGGCAGCAGUGGGGAAUAUUGCACAAUGGGCGGAAGCCUGAUACAGCAACGCCGCGUGCGGGAUGACGGCCUUCGGGUUGUAAACCGCUUUCGCCUGUAACGAAGCGUGAGUGACGGUAAUGGGUAAAGAAGCACCGGCUAACUACGUG